GGUGGCUCAAGGGAAUCCUCUUUCUGAUCCACUUUUCUUCCGUCCCACCAGCUCACUCAUCCCUUCCUCCAUUUUGACACGUUUACAGUUCUUAUCUCCAUCAGCUGUGUCUCAGGCUUGCCACACAACAGUGUAGACGCUCAGAUAAGUCAUCCUGGUACCCAGCAAGACCUUGGAAGAACAGUCCUAAGCAGGAUGCAAAAGUAAACUUUUCCCCCGUUGGAUUGAUUCAAUCCUGGUAUUUUUCUGAAGUAAAAAUAAAAACAAAAACAAAACAACAACAACAAAAAAAAAACCAAACCAAAACAAAACAAAAAAAACCUAAACCCUGAAUGGCAUACCUUGCUAUUGUGAGAGUCCGUGGACUUUGUUCAUCGCUUCAGGCAGAAAAUUCUCUUUUUUUCCAUAUUGUUCACCAUCUUGCCUUUGGGAUUUUUUUUUUUUUUUUUUGAUAGAGUCUCAAGUAACCUGAACUGGCCUCAAACUUGCUAUGUAGUAAGAGGUACCUCGAACCUCUAACCUCCUGUCUCCACUUCCCAAGUGCUGACAUUAUAGGCAUGUACCACCAUUCCUGGUUUAUGUGGUACAUGCAAGCCUGGUCAGCACUCUUCCAAUUAAACUUUACCCAUAAUCCUUAUAAUACAUUCUUCUGGUUGGGUCUACAUGAGUUCGGCCUGUCUUCAUUCCUCUUAAAAAUGAUUUCCUCAACAAGCAAGGGUGGAAUAGUUCCACCACAACAGACCUAUAGACAGUUUCAUGGGGGGAAAAGAAAGACAAUGUUCUAUUGUUUUUUUUUUUUAAAAUAACUAUUCAUUGACUAUGUGUGUGAGCCUCUGGGGGGUUAUGAGCACCAACCACCUUUGCACAGUGACCAUAGAAGCCAGAAGGGGGCUUCAGAGCUCCUGGAAAUGGAGUUGCAAGCCACUGAGAGGCACUGCAUAGGUCCUGGGAAGCUAAUGUGCACACCCUCUACAAAGGCAGCAAGUGUUCGCAGCUGCUGAGCCAUCUCUCCAUCCCCAAGAUUUUUUUUUUUUUUUUUUUUUUGAAAUCGCUAUGUACUAAAUGGUUCCUGCAAGCAGCUAUUGCCGAUUGCCACUUUGCUCUGCACCUGGGAGCUGCAUUUGACUGUUUAAGUGGUUCUGUCCCGGAGCUGCUGAAAUGCCCAGUGGAACCACAAGCACUCCUUCAGACUUCCUGUUUCCCAAGAGCAGGCAACAGGGGUGUCGAUUACAGCUCGUGCAGGCCUGGGGCAGGGAGGCCCACAUGUCCUGUGUGUUUUCUAUCUGCAGGCUCCGUACAGAUGGUGAGGUUGUUCCCACAGCAAAUCUGCCACCAAAGGGGAUAGGAAAUCUUGGCAGGAAGCUCUCUCAAGCACCAGGGGAGAGUCUCCCAGUGACCUUGGCCUCCACCCAACCCUUUCUCACUACUAAAUGAGGAAAGCAUCUUGAACAGAUUCUGCCAAGACUGAUGGGACUUGGGCCUUUCUCAGCGCUGGAAUGUUAGGUGAAAGCAAGCAGACACAUGUUAACAACUAGACACAAAACAGCUUCGAUACUAUUCAAUCACAACAAGGGAGCCCUCUUCCUGGAGGCUCCUAGCCACGUAGGAGAGAGACCAGCUUUCCUGGGUGUGUUCGCCCGAAGGCAUUCGCUUUCUCUGGCAAGAUCUUACGGUUAACCAAGAUUUCCAUGGAGUGAGCAGUCCUUGGCAGAAGAAAAACAGAAGCAAGACCACAAAAUAUUGAAAAGACUCCUGAGGCUGGCGUGGAGUUAAUAAUCACUUGUACAAACGGGCGGAACUGGUCUCAAUGGGGCCCAGAAGCAAUGGAUGUAGGGGUAUAUGAUGUGGCAUCGCGGGGUUCGCACAGGCAAGGAAAAAUAUCAGCGGUCUAUUCUUUUCCAUCUCCGAGGCCACCCUCAGGAUAGCUGCUUGAUGGUCUUUGCCUCCAGACCAGGCCUCCCCCAGCCACUGGAGAUGCCUCAGGAGGUCUGACCCACUUAGAGCUGGAGGUGUAGGGCUGGAGAGAUAGCUCAGAAGUUAAGAGCACUGACUGUUCUUCAUAAGGUCCUGAGUUCAAAUCCCAGCAACCACAUGGUGGCUCACAACCAUCCAUAACGAGAUCUGACACUCUCUUCUGGUGUGUCUGAAAACAGCUACAGUGUACUUACAUAUAAUAAAUAAAUAAGUCUUUUAAAAAAAUAAGG
rnacentral:lncRNA from 1 species